rnacentral:rRNA from 1 species
UACGAAGGGGGCUAGCGUUGUUCGGAAUCACUGGGCGUAAAGCGUAUGCAGGCGGAUCGCUAAGUCAGGGGUGAAAUCCCGAGGCUCAACCUCGGAACUGCCUUUGAUACUGACGAUCUUGAGUCCGGGAGAGGUGAGUGGAACUCCGAGUGUAGAGGUGAAAUUCGUAGAUAUUCGCAAGAACACCAGUGGCGAAGGCGGCUCACUGGCCCGAUACUGACGCUGAGGUGCGAAAGCGUGGGGAGCAAACAGG